rnacentral:lncRNA from 1 species
UUUCUCACGUAACCUUUGCGUUAUAUUCUCUCCUUUCCCCUUUCCUUUCCUAUCCUUCCUCCCUCCUCUUUCUUCAUCAUCUCUUCUGACGACACGAGAAUCAGAAACCGGAAUUGGAAUAACAUCUGUUUUUAUUUAUUUCACAUUGCUUUCGGUUUCUUCCGAUUUGCAUCUGUUGUUUCAUCCGUAAAUCAAAAGGAGAAAAGGAAGCAUUUUUAGUGCUGGGUUUUGUUUAUAGAGGAAAAGGGUCGUUCGUUCUCGGUUUUUGUUUGUGUGUGGCUAGUUUACUCAUGCCAGAUACUAACACUAACACCAGGCAGCAGACGAAGAACAACAAUGCUGGGCCGAAUCAAUCCUCUGAUAAUAUUGAAGGUAGAACGAUGAUUCAUAACCGUCUGUUUGUUUAUUUGAUGAUCCAUUAAUGUCUUGAUCGGGGUCGAUCGUGAUGCAAUACCUUUGAUGAUUGUUUUCCUUUUCGAGAGCGAUCAGUUGUGGUGAUGUGUGUUUUUUUUAAAAUUUUUGUUUGGCAGAAGCAAUUAGAAGGCUGAAGAUCCAUGA